GUGCUAUAUUAAUUGCCAAUAUGGAUUCGAGAAAGGUGAAGGCAAUUGCCCAUCAUGUAAAUGCAAACCUAAGCCAGAACCUGUAUGUCCUGUGUGCUAUAUAAAUUGCCAAUAUGGAUUCGAAAAAGGUGAAGGCACUUGCCCGUCAUGCAAAUGUAAACCUAAGCCAGAACCUGUAUGUCCUGUGUGCUAUAUAAAUUGCCAAUAUGGAUUCGAGAAAGGUGAAGGCAAUUGCCCAUCAUGUAAAUGCAAACCUAAGCCAG